rnacentral:rRNA from 1 species
CGCCACGGGGCGGCGUGCUAUACAUGCAGUCGAACGAGUUCUGAUUAUUGAAAGGUGCUUGCAUCUUGAUUUAAUUUUGAACGAGUGGCGGACGGGUGAGUAACACGUGGGUAACCUGCCCUUAAGUGGGGGAUAACAUUUGGAAACAGAUGCUAAUACCGCAUAAAUCCAAGAACCGCAUGGUUCUUGGCUGAAAGAUGGCGUAAGCUAUCGCUUUUGGAUGGACCCGCGGCGUAUUAGCUAGUUGGUGAGGUAACGGCUCACCAAGGCAAUGAUACGUAGCCGAACUGAGAGGUUGAUCGGCCACAUUGGGACUGAGACACGGCCCAAACUCCUACGGGAGGCAGCAGUAGGGAAUCUUCCACAAUGGACGCAAGUCUGAUGGAGCAACGCCGCGUGAGUGAAGAAGGCUUUCGGGUCGUAAAACUCUGUUGUUGGAGAAGAAUGGUCGGCAGAGUAACUGUUGUCGGCGUGACGGUAUCCAACCAGAAAGCCACGGCUAACUACGUGCCAGCAGCCGCGGUAAUACGUAGGUGGCAAGCGUUAUCCGGAUUUAUUGGGCGUAAAGCGAGCGCAGGCGGUUUUUUAAGUCUGAUGUGAAAGCCCUCGGCUUAACCGAGGAAGUGCAUCGGAAACUGGGAAACUUGAGUGCAGAAGAGGACAGUGGAACUCCAUGUGUAGCGGUGAAAUGCGUAGAUAUAUGGAAGAACACCAGUGGCGAAGGCGGCUGUCUGGUCUGUAACUGACGCUGAGGCUCGAAAGCAUGGGUAGCGAACAGGAUUAGAUACCCUGGUAGUCCAUGCCGUAAACGAUGAAUGCUAGGUGUUGGAGGGUUUCCGCCCUUCAGUGCCGCAGCUAACGCAUUAAGCAUUCCGCCUGGGGAGUACGACCGCAAGGUUGAAACUCAAAGGAAUUGACGGGGGCCCGCACAAGCGGUGGAGCAUGUGGUUUAAUUCGAAGCAACGCGAAGAACCUUACCAGGUCUUGACAUCUUUUGAUCACCUGAGAGAUCAGGUUUCCCCUUCGGGGGCAAAAUGACAGGUGGUGCAUGGUUGUCGUCAGCUCGUGUCGUGAGAUGUUGGGUUAAGUCCCGCAACGAGCGCAACCCUUAUGACUAGUUGCCAGCAUUUAGUUGGGCACUCUAGUAAGACUGCCGGUGACAAACCGGAGGAAGGUGGGGAUGACGUCAAAUCAUCAUGCCCCUUAUGACCUGGGCUACACACGUGCUACAAUGGAUGGUACAACGAGUUGCGAGACCGCGAGGUCAAGCUAAUCUCUUAAAGCCAUUCUCAGUUCGGACUGUAGGCUGCAACUCGCCUACACGAAGUCGGAAUCGCUAGUAAUCGCGGAUCAGCACGCCGCGGUGAAUACGUUCCCGGGCCCUUGUACACACCGCCCGUCACCCCAUGAGAGUUUGUAACACCCGAAGCCGGUGGCGUAACCCUUUUAGGGAGCGAGCCGUCUAAGGUGGACAAAAGAUGGG